rnacentral:rRNA from 1 species
UUAAUAGUAAGAUCUGCUCAAUGAAAAUUCAAUAGCCGCAAUUAGUGCUAAGGUAGCAUAAUAAUUUGUCUUUUAAAUGGAGACUAGUACAAAAGAUUUAACAUCUUAAUUAAUUUUUUAUAAUAAAAAUUUUAAUCUUUUCUAAAAGUUAAAAACCUUUUAUAAUAAAAAAAGACGACAAGACCCUAUUGAACUUUACUUUAGUUAUACUGGGGCAGUAAAUUAAUUAUUAUUUUAAUAAAAAUAUUUAUAUACAAAGCCUUUUAUUAGAUAAAUUAGUUACCAUAGGGAUAACAGCGUAAUAUUAUUUUAAAGAUCUCAUUAAAAAUAAAGAUUGCGACCUCGAUGUUGAAUUAAUAACCUAAUUAAAGCAAAAUUUAGAAUAGGAAGUCUGUUCGACUUUUAAACAAUUACAUGAUUUGAGUUCAGACCGGUAUAAGCCAGGUCGGUUUCCAUCUUUUAUAAAUAUUUUUGUAGUACGAAAGGACCUAAAAAUUAAAUUUUAUUUAUAAUAUUGGCAGAUUAAUGCAUUAGAAUUAGAAUCUAAUUAUCU